rnacentral:SRP_RNA from 1 species
AUACGGGCUAGGGGGGGUGUUGACGUGCUCUGUUUUCCUCAAAUCGUCGAUAAAGGGGGCCUGAAGUCCGAGGGCGGCGCAGACGAGCCAUUGGUGUCUCACCGGUUAACGUCGAUGCCUCGCCCCCAAGAGAUCCAGGUUGGCUGGAAUCGUUUCCGGAGGGGAACAAGGACAGCCUCAUGCCCGGGAACCAGGUCAGGCGCGGAAGCGAGCAACCCGACCGGGGACACUGGAUGCCUUGGGAUAGCGGGGCGGAGGAGAUCGGUGACUUACAUCUUUGGUGACGAGCGUCCACCGAGGACGCGCCCACUA